AUUGCCUCAGUAACGGCGAGUGAAGCGGCAACAGCUCAAAUUUGAAAUCUGGCCCUUUCAGGGUCCGAGUUGUAAUUUGCAGAGGGUGCUUUGGUGUCGGCCGUGGUCUAAGUUCCUUGGAACAGGACGUCACAGAGGGUGAGAAUCCCGUACGUGGCCGCCGGUCUUCACCGUGUAAAGCCCCUUCGACGAGUCGAGUUGUUUGGGAAUGCAGCUCUAAAUGGGAGAUACAUUUCUUCUAAAGCUAAAUAUUGGCCAGAGACCGAUAGCGCACAAGUAGAGUGAUCGAAAGAUGAAAAGCACUUUGGAAAGAGAGUCAAAAAGCACGUGAAAUUGUUGAAAGGGAAGCGCUUGCAGCCAGACGUGCCCGCAGUUGCUCACCCGGGCUCUCGCCCGGGGCAUUCUUCUGCGGGCAGGCCAGCAUCAGUUCGGGCGGUUGGAUAAAGGCCUCUAUCACGUAUCUUCCUUCGGGAAGACCUUAUAGGGGAGGCGCAACACGACCAGCCUGAACUGAGGACCGCGCAUCAGCUAGGAUGCUGGCGUAAUGGCUGUAAGCGGCCCGUCUUGAAACACGGACCAAGGAGUCUAACAUCUAUGCGAGUGUUUGGGUGUAAAGCCCGGGCGCGCAAUGAAAGUGAACGGAGGUGGGAACCCCUCGGGGUGCACCAUCGACCGAUCCUGAAGUCUUCGGAUGGAUUUGAGUAAGAGCAUAGCUGUUGGGACCCGAAAGAUGGUGAACUAUGCCUGAAUAGGGUGAAGCCAGGGGAAACCCUGGUGGAGGCUCGCAGCGGUUCUGACGUGCAAAUCGAUCGUCAAAUUUGGGCAUAGGGGCGAAAGACUAAUCGAACCAUCUAGUAGCUGGUUCCUGCC
rnacentral:rRNA from 1 species